UUAUGGAGCGGCAGCUCGCGGCAGCGCCCGCGACAGUGGCUGAGGGCGGUGGUCCGCCCGCGCCCUCGACCCGUGUACCCGAGGUGGCGGAGGGUAAGGGUAUAGCGGCGGUUCCAGUGACGGCACGCCCACCGCCAGCGAUCGCACCACAGGCGGCAUCGGGAUCGGCUACCCCCGAUGUGUCGGCCGAAGAGGUGGAAGGAGAGCGCGCGUUGGCGGCUCUAAUCAAAUUCAACAAGUUCCAUCCGCCAACUUUCGAGGGCGAGAAGGUGGAACCGGAGAUGGUCGAGUC
rnacentral:lncRNA from 1 species